rnacentral:lncRNA from 10 species
GCGCGGGACGGGGAGGAAUGGCCUGUCCGCGUUAAACCAUCACAAGCCAUGGUUGCGGAAGGGCCACGCGUCCCCCAGUAGGAGAAUGACUCCGAUUCGUGACCCUCAGCGCCGGUGCAUGUCGAUGUAAGUGCGAGGCCGGCGAGCAGAGUGUGAGUGGGGGUUGGUGGUGAGGGGAGAUUCUGAUGCAAUCGGCCCGGAAAGGAGGAGAGCCAGGCGAGCGCGGACUGGGGCGGCCACGCCACUCCGCCAGAAGGUCGCCAGGAGCCUCCGCCCUUCACCUUCCUCCGAAAUCCGCCAGGCCACGCCAAGCUCCCUGCCCAACCCUUACUGACGGGGGCCACAUUUUCCCGGCCUCCGCAGCCAGACCUUGACACAAAGGACAUCAAACUGCCGAGGGUAAAAACCCCGGAAGGGCGGACACCUCCACAUCGCCUUUUGCCACCUUUCCCUUUAUUUCCGGAGAUAUUUAUUGAGUGUCUACUGUGUGCCAGGCACUAUAUCUAUGUGCAUAGAAAAACCCUGGAAGGCCAUACAACAAUAUAUAUAGAGUGAUCGUCUCUGCUUGCUGAGCUAACAGGGGUGUCAAGCUUCCAUUUUGGUAUCUACUUCUAAAUACACUCAGAACAGGAGAAAUUUGGACUAAUUUUCAAACUACAGACACUUUCUAAUCAUGAUGCAUUUCAAAAGUGGACUCGAAUUAACUGAGUUGCAAAACAUGACAGUGCCCGAGGAUGAUAACAUUAGCAAUGACUCCAAUGAUUUCACCGAAGUAGAAAAUGGUCAGAUAAAUAGCAAGUUUAUUUCUGAUCGUGAAAGUAGAAGAAGUCUCACAAACAGCCAUUUGG